AUGGCUGAAUACUUCCCUGCCAUGGUGGAAUGUGUGUGUCACACACAUUCCACCUGCAGAGCAUGGACUCAUAUGCCUACAAGCUGGUGCAUGUUCUGAGUUCCUAGAGGAAGAAGAUAGAGUCCAAGACCGUAUUCUCAAUGGAGCUACUGCUGGGGAGAACUAGGUGUGGGAAAUUUGAAGACAACAUUGAUAACUGCCCUUUCCAAGAAAGCACAGAGCUGAACGAUAUGCUCACCUGCUUCUUCACUUUUAGGACCCAGCCCUGGGUAAUGCAGUGUGAGCUCCUGAACAAGACCUGCUCAGAGGGGUUCCCCUGA
rnacentral:lncRNA from 1 species